GAUGAACGCUGGCGGCGUGCCUAAUACAUGCAAGUCGAGCGAACAGACGAGGAUGUUGCUCCUCUGACGUUAGCGGCGGACGGGUGAGUAACACGUGGAUAACCUACCUAUAAGACUGGGAUAACUUCGGGAAACCGGAGCUAAUACCGGAUAAUAUAUUGAACCGCAUGGUUCAAUAGUGAAAGACGGUUUUGCUGUCACUUAUAGAUGGAUCCGCGCCGCAUUAGCUAGUUGGUAAGGUAACGGCUUACCAAGGCAACGAUGCGUAGCCGACCUGAGAGGGUGAUCGGCCACACUGGAACUGAGACACGGUCCAGACUCCUACGGGAGGCAGCAGUAGGGAAUCUUCCGCAAUGGGCGAAAGCCUGACGGAGCAACGCCGCGUGAGUGAUGAAGGUCUUCGGAUCGUAAAACUCUGUUAUUAGGGAAGAACAAAUGUGUAAGUAACUAUGCACGUCUUGACGGUACCUAAUCAGAAAGCCACGGCUAACUACGUG
rnacentral:rRNA from 1 species